CAUCCAGUAGAUAUGUUGCUCGC
rnacentral:miRNA from 1 species